AAAUCUCGUGUGGAACAAAA
rnacentral:snRNA from 1 species